CCGCCCCGCUGUCCUUGCCUCUGGAGCUGCUCCUGUACCAUGGGUGUGACUUCCAGUCCUGCCACCUGCCAGUCCUGUUCAGCCUCCUCUCCGUUUCUGCGCAGGGGGAGUGGGGGUGGGUGUGAUAGGACCUCCCUCAGCGGGUGAUGCUGAGCCUGGAAUGUGCCCCUGUCACUGUUGCUGUUGCUCGGGUGGCUCCCGGCCCGGGCGGCUCUCCGCACUGCGAGAUGUGUCACAGGUUAACUUGUUCUUACUAACAGCUAAAACUUACAAGUUUAAUUUGAGUCGGGAAAACGUAUUUUUAGAAAGCCAUUAGAGCUAUGUCCGGGUUAUCCCCACCGUAUCGUUAUUGCUGUUGAUUCCCGUUUCGGGAGGUGGAGAGUGCCCACAGAAGGCUGCCCUGCGCCCCCAGGGUUGGGCACGGCCCGGGGAUACCGGUUGGAACACGGGUCCCUCAUCCAAACACUGAGUGUCCCGUGUGGGGGCAGAAAACGUGUUUGAGAACCGCUGGUCACGGGUGCUGUGCCUUCUGCCACUCUCAUGUUCCUGCUGUUCCACGCGGCAAAACUCUGUUCCCGUUGCUUGCCAGACUACAACCCCCACAGCCAAGCCUUCUUAUCCUGUGCAGACAUACCUCCGUGCAAGGAAAAUACGUGUUUGACUGUUGAAAUCACUUUUCCAUUAUAGUAAACAGCUGCUGUAACUUGCCCUGACUUUAUUCAUUAAUUAAUAUUUAUCGAGUGCCUGUUAUGAAUGAGGUAUUAUCGGGUUUAUGAGGAUAAUUGAGAAAAUGUCCAUUUAAGAAGCUUAUAACUAAGCCUGAUGGACAGAUCACAGAUGCAAGGACUACAGCUGAAAAACAUUGAUUCUGGGCUUCCUUUUCUUCUUUAGCUUCCAUUUUGAAACUUUUACAUUCAGGAAAAGUAAUACAUUGUAUCCAUUUACAGCCUGUUAGUCUUUGUUUUUCAUUAUAAAAGUAAUACAUGCUCACUGCACACAAUUUGGACAAUAUGUAAAAAUUAAAAGGGAACAGAAAACAUUUCAUCAACAAAAAUUACCACUUUAAUGUGGUUUUUUUAUUUUUUAUUAUUAUUCUUUUCUUUAAUGUUUAUUUAUUUUUGAGAGAGACAGAGACAGAAUGUGAGUGGGUUAGGGGCAGAGAGAGAGGGAGACACAGAAUCCGAAGCAGGCUCCAGGUUCCGAGCUGUCAGCACAGAGCCUGACGCAGGGCUCGAACCCAUGAACCAUGAGAUCAUGACCUGAGCAGAAGUCGGAGGCUCAACCGACUGAGCCACCCAGGCUCUCCUUAAUGUGGUUUUUUAGGUUAUUUUCAGGGGCGCCUACAUGGCUCAGUUGCUUAAGUGUCGGAUUUCUGUUCAGGUCAUGGUCUCGCCGUUCCUGAGUUUGAGCCCCAUGUCCGAGCCUGAAGCCUGCUGCAUAUUCUGUGUCUCCCUCUCUCUCUGCCUCUCCCCGCUUGUGCUCUGUCUCUGUCUCUCAAAAAUAAAUAAACGUUAAAAAAAAAAAAAAGUUCCUUUCAUGCAACUUGUACAUAGGUAAUAUUCUCUAUGUUUAUAUCCUGUUGGGUUUUUUUUUUUCAUUUCAGCCAUUAUGUAAUCAUUAUUUCCCUAUGUUAUUAGAAUACUUUAUAAUUUUAAGAGCAAAAUAUUUCAUCAUAUAUGACUUACGACCACUCCCCCUAUAUGUUGGGCAUUCGGGUUGAUUCCAGUUUUUCUUUAUUAUAAGCAAUAUAAUAAUAAACACCUUGGUGUAUGAGUCAUCUGUAUUUGUGAUCAUAGAUUUCCAAGGGGGAAUUAUUCAGCCAGGGUAGAAAUAUUUGUAAGGUUAUUAAUAUAUGUGGCUUUGUUGCUUUUUGGCACAGAUAUGUAACCUGACAAUUUUUUUUAUUUUGCUUUGAAUAUUCAUUGCCUUAACUGUAAGAGAUCCUAAACCUUUGCACAUGCUGCAUUCCACGUGUUGACUGUUCCACAAUGACUCCAAAGUUCAUGACAUAAAGUAGUUUGCAUAUUUACUGAAGCACAGAGUUAAUCACAUGGGCCUUGGGGCUGGUGUGGUGCAGUUGAGUCCCUUGGCUGUGAGUGACUGAGGCUGCCUGGCUCCUGUUUGAUCAGGGCUUCAUGGUUCUUUGCAAGUGCUCUCGUACAUUGCUUUGUAAAUUUACUUAUUUUUUCAUAUGGAGAACUUUUGUGAAAACUGAGAUGGCUGUUCAUUUAUGGCCUACAAAUGUGCAUAGAUUAUCUGUAUCAGACAUAUGUGACCCAAGGCAAAACCCAGGAGUUUGCACAGAUAUUUCCAUAUUAACAAGUGUGAAGUUUUGCAAAGGCCACUCCUUUCUAGUUGGUUGGUAUAGUAAGUACGAAUCUCUCAUUUCCGGGAAAGAAGUGUGAUUUCAUCUUCAGUGCAAGCUGAAGAAAUUAUGCUCUCUGUAAUAACUGAUCACAUAGAAUAAGUGAUUCUAUGUAUCUUUAUAAGAAAACGUGAAAGUAAAUACACAGACGAAAUCCUCAGACAAGGAGCCGCUACGGAGAUUGUCCCCGUCCUUGCUUUAACUUUAGAAGAAGUUCUUUGUAUUUGGGUGCGAAUAUCUUAUCCUCCAGCUAGGAAAGAGAGCGUGUGGAAAACAAUUUCAUCAACGUCGAGGACUCUGAGAACAAGCGCAGCGAAAGAGACCUCGCUCAGGCCAAUCACGCUAAUCUCUGCUUAACCUUGCACUGCUUCCCUCCCGGGGACUGAAGUCCUGCCCUGAAACACAGUGAGCGAUGCACUUUCCUGAUUCUGUCUCUCUGACUGGAUUCCAGAGCGCCCCGGAUCUCUCAUUGCUCUGCAGGGCCUGUGGUCAGGAAGCCUCCGUUCUGGACACUUGCCCCAGCCAAUGGCAACUCCAUUCUUCCAGUUCCUUAGGCCAAAGCCUUGGAGUCAUCCUUAACUCCUCCUGGCGCGUCCCAUCCCACAUCUGAGCCUUUGGCGAGUUCUUGGUUCCACGUGGAAAAUAUAUCCAGACUCUGACUACCUUUGGUCUAAGCCACUGUCAUCUCUGCCCUGGAUGCCUGCAAAGAGCCUCCUGCCUGCCUUCCUGGCUUCCGUCCUCGUCCCCUUCCACUUCUUCUCAACAGUGCCAUCUGAGUGGCCUGUGUAAAAUAGGGGCCGGGGCGCCUGGGGGGCUCCGUCAGUUAAGCGUCCGACUUCGGCUUAGGUCAUGAUCUCACCGUUCAUGGGUUCGAGCCCCUCAUCGGGCUCUACGCGGACAGCUCAGAGCCUGGAGUCCGCUUAGGAUUCUGUGUCUCCCUCUGUCUCUGCCCCUCCCCUGCUCACGCUCGUGCUCUCUCUCUCUCUCUCUCUCUCUCUCUCUCUCUGUC